AGUAGUUGGGCCGUUCCCCGUUCGGGGGACAGGGUGACAGGUGGUGCAUGGUUGUCGUCAGCUCGUGUCGUGAGAUGUUGGGUUAAGUCCCGCAACGAGCGCAACCCCUACGUUUAGUUGCUAACAGGUGAAGCUGAGCACUCUAGACGAACUGCCGUUGACAAAACGGAGGAAGGUGGGAUGACGUCAAAUCAUCAUGCCCCUUAUGUUCUGGGCUACACACGUGCUACAAUGGCCGGUACAGACGGAGGCGAAGCCGCGAGGCGGAGCAAAUCCGAAAAAGCCGGUCUCAGUUCGGAUUGCAGGCUGCAAUUCGCCUGCAUGAAGUCGGAAUCGCUAGUAAUCGCAGGUCAGCAUACUGCGGUGAAUACGUUCCCGGGCCUU
rnacentral:rRNA from 1 species